AGGAUGGGGGCGGAGGGAUGGAGGAGGUGCUGAGCCCACAGCACUCUCCUUUCCCAGGCCCCUACCCAGAAGCUGUCCCGCCACUCGUAAAGCGCCUGGAAGAUGGAAAGGAUCUCUCUGUUAUUAUUGUAAUAUACCUUGUCCAGAAUUCAUGAUGAAAUACAUUUUCUCCAGAACGUUUAAUGGUGUGAAAUCAAACUGUCUGUUGUCAGACCGUUCUCCAUGCCUCCCCUAACCCCAGUAUUUGUGCUGAAGAUGGUGGGACCUCAAUUCACCCUUCUGGAAUGUUGCAGAGCCUGGCCGCAGCCUGAGCAGUGGCAGCUUUCCAGGAGCCUGAGGUCUGAAUCUGCCUGGUACAGCAUCCUGGAGGGCACAUGCAGACACAGAAGUUCUGUGUGCCCUGUGAAACAGUGGGCCAGUAAUCCAGCUGAGUGCUUCUGGACCCGGGCCGCCACCAGGGAACUGACAACCCCACAUCUGCCACAGGCAGAAAACUUGCAGGGGUCAGGGGAAGCUCUUUCUCUGCCAUUUAAGAAGGAACAGUGGAGGCCGGGGCUGCCAGCCCGCUUGGCUCACAACUUUUGGACUGUCUGGCAUUGUGGCCAGCACGUGACUGUGGUUAUUUGGGGCAAGCAGGGGUGCCCAAGUCCAAACACAUCUCCUCCCGGGCCUGUCCCUCGCUGACACAUCUGGUAAGCAUGAGAUGGAGACAGAGAACACUGUGUAACAGGAACCAACGCUGGGCUGUCCCAGCAUCCUUUAUGGAGAAAACUCUUUCUCUGGGGUCUGAAUGCUUCUGCUCUGAAAUAACCAGUGUGAAUUUCUUCUAAGCAGCCAGUGACCAGCCAACAGUUCGAGGUGGGCAAAGUCAACGAGGGGCUGGGUUUCAUUUCUCAUCAGUGGCAUGAGGGGGGUACACCAGGGGGUCUCCAGUCCCACUUAGACUCCAUUCCAUAACCUCAACCAAGCUCCUGUGCAUGCCAGGCACCUGGGGAGCCAAGGGAGUUGGUACCAGGAGUGGGGCCCAUGGGGCCCUGUGAGUGGGUGGUCAGGGGUGGGGAGAGACCAUGGAGGUCAAGGCGGGGUGCUCGCUCAGAGGACCAGAUGGCAAAAAGUCCCAGCAAAGCUGGUCUCUGUCCCUGCUCAACACAGCUUGUCCUUGUGAAGGGAGAGGGAGGAAAGGGACAACCGGCUCCGGGGAGGAAGAGCCCUGAGGGAGGUGUGGAUGGAGCACUCAGGAAGAUGAGGAAGAGGAGGUUCGAUUCAGCUUGAGCAUAGGGACAGUGCACAGCACGGUCUGCAUCAGAGAAUAUGUCUGGGCUCACACAGAGACUGAGGGACCUGCCACUUGGGGCCGGGUGGCCAUGACUUGGUGCAAAAGCCUCCACCCCCCACAGCCUCCCUGCUCUGAACCCCUGGCCUUGUGCAUCUCCUGCUCUCCUUCCUGAGCUAGCCUUGACCUCACGUCGCAGCUGCCGAUCCCUGGCUUCUUUUAUUCGGGAGAGACCUAGGGACUACCGCCACGAUGCACGCUCACUCCCUGCUCAGACCUGACGGUGGAUCCCGAGCCAUGGACCCUGGCAUUCUCCCCACAGGACAUCUUCAAGAAGAGGUUCCAGGCAGCAUCUUGAAGAAGAGUGUUCCAGGCAGCAGGAAUAGCAGGUGCACAGGCUAAGAGGUGGGAGCCCGCCUGGUCUGCAGGAAGAUAGCAGGGAGCUGGAGCACCAGCCGUGGAGAGGUGAGCUGAGGCCAGAGCAGCCGAGGGGGCUGCAGGCUUCGUGAACAGCAAGCCUGGAUGAGGCCUUGGGUCAUGGUGAGGACUGUGGCUUACUCUCCAAGUGGUUAAGGCUGGAGAGUGACAUCUGAUUUGCAUGUUAAAAUGAUAGCUGUGAUGGUGGAGAACAGUCUAUGGGGGGAUGGGGACUAGGGAGGUGCAAGAGACUUGGGGGAGGUGAAAGGUGAUGGUGGCUGCCCCAGAGUGUCGGAGGUAGCAGGGGCAGGAGCGACUGGACACUGGGCACUUUCCAAGGUGGAGCUGGCAGCAUGUGCUGGCAGGAGGAAGAGGGGUACAAGAGUCUCGGAGGAGUCAAGGGCGAGUCCAAACAGUUGGAGGGUGGGAGCUGCUGUCAACUGAGAUGGGAAGAUUUGGGAUGUGGAGUAGUGGGAAGCUAAGAGUUUGGGUAUAUCAGGCUCCUUCAACGUCUGUCUGAGUGAAGGGGCUGAGGACACAGUGGGAUGUGUAAGUCUGGAAUUCAGAGGAAAGAACAUGCUGGGGAUAUGCAGUUUAGGAGUUGUUGGCAUCUAUGUGGUAUUCAAAGCCACAAGACUCAAUGAAGUACCAGGGAGAGUGAAGGUGGGAUACAGAAAAGAAGUCGUCCAAGCCUCAGGUGGCUCGUGGGGUCAGAGUGUGAGGGAGAUCAGACACUGGCCCCACAGGUGGGACAGGAGGGAGGGAGAUUGGACACUGGCCCCACAGGUGGGACAGGAGGGAGGGAGAUUGGACACUGGCCCCACGGGUGGGACGGGAGGGA